AACAUGUUUGUUUGGAACUACUGGCGUCUCUUUUGACGCUGUAAUGUUAAAGGAAAAGGUCAUGGGUGGGCUUACCUUUCCGUGACACCCGGGAAGAAUGGGACAGUUGAGUUUAGGAAAUUGUCGUGGGUGAGGUUACGCGUCCGUAACAUGCAGGAAGAAUGGG